rnacentral:rRNA from 1 species
CCUACGGGAGGCAGCAGUGGGGAAUAUUGCACAAUGGGGGAAACCCUGAUGCAGCGACGCCGCGUGAGUGAAGAAGUAUUUCGGUAUGUAAAGCUCUAUCAGCAGGGAAGAAAUAAAGUCCUUCGGACUUUGGACGGUACCUGACUAAGAAGCCCCGGCUAACUACGUGCCAGCAGCCGCGGGAAUACGUAGGGGGCAAGCGGUAUUCGGAUUUACUGGGUGUAAAGGGAGCGUCGACGGCAGCGCAAGUCUGGCGGGAAAUCCCAUGGCUUAACCAUGGAACUGCUUUGGAAACUGUGCAGCUUGAGUGCAUGAGAGGUAAGCGGAAUUCCUAGUGUAGCGGUGAAAUGCGUAGAUAUUAGGAGGAACACCAGUGGCGAAGGCGACUUACUGGACUGUAACUGACGUUGAGGCUCGAAAGCGUGGGGAGCAAACAGGAUUAGAUACCCGGGUAGUC